CAGACUUCGGGUUACCACCUUUGGCUCAACCAAAGGGGCGGGAAUGGAGGAGGAGAAUUGCCGAGUUGUGCGAAAAUCUUUGAGAAUCCCCAUUCUAUCGACCCCAUAGGAAAUGUAACACCUGCAUCUUCACCUGCCCCUCACCACUGUCCAGAGACUUAAGCAGCCUUUGAGGUGAAGCAGAGGUCAAACCUGGUCCACUGCAUUUGGUGUUCAUGAAAUGGCCUGAUCUACACUGGUGAAUCAAAAGAAGUUUUCUCAGAGAAAAUCAAACAGCAAUGUGAAACUUAACACUGCUUCCAGUGAUCAAGCUCAACCUUCAGAAGGGAAAGACCACAAAUCUGGUACCAACUCAUGAUCCUUGUGCUUCUGUGUGCCCUCCAGAGACGAACAACCUGCACAGGUACGUCAAAACAUGCUAAAAGUACCAUCAACACUGACUCCAUAAAAAAAUUAUUCAAAUCCAAGGGUUGAAUCAAUGUCACUAUCUCUUCCUUGUCGACAUCACCUAUGGGACAGCUUUCUUGGCCUCACAAUUAUGCCAAACCGUUGCGCUUCCGACAACUUGCUUUUCAUGAACAUUUAGGGGAUCUCUAUGAAAGGAGGGAGAGAGGGAGAGUGAGAGAGAGAGAGAGAGAGAGAGAGAGAGAGAGAGAGAGAGAGAGAGACUGACUCUGCCUAUCCGUGAAUGUGGGUGUGCAUAAGUUGCUGACACCGUGGUAUCCGAGAGUUAAGCUCAUGCAGAAUACUUGCCUUCCCCUCUUUGCUGUGACAUAUCCACAUGUCCUCUAGAUUCACAAUAUCUCUUUCACUGUUACUCCAUGUGGUAGAGUGGAUAGCUGUGAGUGGACAUAUCAGUGGCAACUCUUCACUUUGGUUUUGGAUUAUCUUCCAGGUCCCAAGCACAAAGUACUUUCCUUCCACUUUCCACCUUCUCCCCAAGGAUAUUGUCCUUGAUAGAAGUGGCAGGUGUGCUUUCCUGUUGCCUCUUUCCCUCAAGUUCAAGUUUAGUUUAUUGUCAUUCAACCAUAUACGUGUAUACCACCAAAUAAAACAACAUUCCUCUGGACCAAGGUGCACAAUACAGCACAUAUAACUCUCACACAUACAUAGAGUAAAUUUACCACAAAUAAAUUAACAAACCAUAAGGUGCAUAUAUGGUACAAAUUUAAAAAGAACAGUAUAACGGUACUAAUAUUUCAUGCAUGAUGAGACCUGGGUGGAGGCAAAGAAUUCAGUAGUCUUACAGCCUAGGGUAAGAAACUGCUUCCCAUCCAAAUGGUUCUUGUCCUGAUGCUACAGUACCUCCCGCCUGAUGGUAGGGGUGGGGUCAGAGAUAUUGUUGGAUGGAUGGGAAGGGUUGCUAACAAUACUAAAAGCCCUGUGUACACAGCACUCCUGAUAACCAUCUCUAAUGGGUGGAACGGACCCUGAUAAUCCUCUCAGCAGUCCUCACAAUCUUUUGUACAGACUUGCAAUCAGAUGACUUGCAAUUCCUGUACCAAACAAUGAUGCUGCUGGUCAGGACACUCUCAAUGGCAUUCCUGUAAAAAAAUUGGUUAAAAUGGGGUUGGGGGGGGGGGAACCCUUUCUCACCUCAAUCUCUUCUGGAACUGGAGACACUGCUGUGCUUCUUUCAGCAAAGAGGUGGUGUUGAGGGACCAGGUCAGAUUGUCCGUUAAGUACACUUCCAGAAACUUGGUGAUGCUAUUUCUUUCCACAGAGGAACCGUGUACAUGCAGUGAGGUCAGCCUGCACAUUCCUGAAGUCCACAAUCAUCUGUUUGGUCUUGUCCACAUUGAGUGUGAAGUUGUUGUGCUCACACAGUUCUGCCAGCUACUCUACCUCCUCUCUGCACGCCGUCUCGUCAUCAUUGUUGAUGAAGCCAAACACUAUUGUGUCAUUAGCGAACUUGUUGAUUGGUUUGAACCGCAUCCGGUAGUGCAGGCAUGCAUCAGCAGUUCAAACAGCAGCAAGCUGAGCUCGCAGCACUGUGGAGCACUGGUGCUCGGCAUGAUGGAGCUAGACACAUUUCUGCCAACAUGAACUGACUAUCACCUUUCUAACAAGAAGUUCAGGAUACAGUGAAAGCUUACCCACCGCCUUCUGAGGUACAAUUGUGUUGAACGCCAAGCUGAAGUUAAUAAAAAGCAAACACGAGGAAAUCUGCAGAUGCUGGAAAUUCAAACAACAACACACAAAAUGCUGCUGGAACACAGCAGACCAGGCAGCAUCUAUAGGAGAAGCACUGUCGACGUUUCAGUAAAAAAAAUGGGAUCCUCAGAAGGUCCAAAACUACCUUGGUAGUUAAUGGUGGUUAACUAAUGGUAGUCUCAACUACCAUUACUGACGUAGGAACGUGGAUCAAGAUAAAUUGGAUUUUGAAAAUUAAUAUAGAAAUGUGAAAAUAAAUGUGCUUGUAAUAAAAACAAGAAAGUAAUAAAAACAGAAAGUAUUAUUAGAAAUAAAGAACAUAUAUGAAAAUGAACAGAAAUGCUGUAGUGACAACCUUGUUGAGAAUACUGUAAUACCAGUUACAGAUUAGUACUACAGUGAAUUCUGGUUUACUGUGACAUUGGUUAAUCAGGGCAGCUGCUGAUUUGGGACAACUCUUAAAGAACAAAAACAAAUUGAGAAAAUAGCUGGGAUUCCCUUCAUUUAUUUUGGGACACUAUGCCACUUGACUGUGGCAGGAGACCGUUGCCAAACCUUUUCAAACUAAUGUCAGUCUCAUGCACAUCACGUGGCUGUUAGACACGACACCAUGGAGCAAACAGUUUUUAAAUCAAUUUCACUACUUCAUUAAGUUAAGAACUACAAAGAAAUUGAAGGUAUUGACAAUCAUCUUGAAUGUUACAGUGAAAAUAAAGAAUUGGAGGAUGCAGUCGUCGAUAGCACUGUAUGAAAGCAGUUCAUUAUCUCCACUAGGUGUCUGCAUUAAUUUUGUUCAUUGCAUACACUGGACGAAUUCAUAGAAAACACAGAAAACCUACAACACAAUACAGACCCUCUGGCCCAUCAAGUUGUGCCGAACAUGUCCCUACCUUAGAAAUUACUAGGGUUACCCUCUAUGUUUCUAAGAUCCAUGUACCUAUCCAAAAGUCUCCCUAUCGUAUCCGCGUCCACCACCAUUGCCGGCAGCCCAUUCCACGCACUCACCACUGUCUGCGUAAAAAACUUACCCCUGACAUCUCCUCUGUACCUACUCCCCAGCACCUUAAACCUGUGUCCUCUUGUGGUAACCAGUUCAGCCCUGGGAAAAAGCAUCUGACUAUCCACACGAUCAAUGCCUCUCAUUAUCUUGUACACCUCUAUCAGGUCAGCUCUCAUCCUCCGUUGCUCCAAAGAGAAAAGGCCAAGUUCACUCAACCUGUUUUCAUAGGGCAUGCUCCCCAAUCCUGGCAACAUCCUUGUAAAUCUCCUCUGCUCCUUUUCUAUGGUUUCCACAUUCUUCCUGUCGUGAGAUGACCAGAACUGAGCACAGUACUCCAAGUGGGUCUGACCAGGGUCUUAUAUAGCUGCAACAUUACCUCUCAGCUCCUAAGUUCAAUUCCACUAUUGAUGAAGGUCAAUACACCGUAUGCCUUCUUAACCACAGAGUCAACCUGUGCAGCUGCUUUGAGCGUCCUAUUGAUUUGGACCCCAAGAUACCUCCAAUCCUCUACACUGCCAAGAGUCUUACCAUUAAUACUAUAUUCUACCAUCAUAUUUGACCUUCCAAAAUGAACCACCUCACACUUAUCUGGCACUCUUGCCACUUCUCAGCCCAGUUUUGCAUCCUAUCAAUGUCCCGGUGUAACCUCUGACAGCCCUCCACACUAUCCACAACACCCCCAACCUUUGUGUCAUCAGCAAACUUACUAACCCAUCCCUUCACUUCCUCAUCCAGGUAACUAUCGAUAACUAAAUUCCUCCAUCGAUAACUGUUAGGAACUAAUACACAGUUUUAUAGUACUGUAGUACUAUUGGUUCUGUUCUAAUUUGUUCUGUAGUUUAUUUAAAUACAUAAUUUGUUCCUCGGUUUGUCUUUUUUAAUAUCCUUUAAACUAUUUCAGGUAGCCACUUAAUUGGACUAAAAUGUACUUGUCUCGAUGUGUCCCAAUUAAUUGGAAACCACUGUAUUUGUGUUGAGAAAUUGUAGCCUUUGUUGGUUUGGGAGGCAUUACUUGUGAGUCCAUGGAGAAAAAAAACUGAAACUUAUUGUUUUUAUUUAUUAAUUGAGAUACAGCGUGGAAUUGGCCCUUCUGGCUCUUCGAGCUGUGGCACCCAGCCACCCCCAAUUUAACCUCAGGAUAAUCGCAGGACAAUUUACAAUGACCAAGUACCAAUCAACGGCUAUGUCUUUGGACUGUGGGAAGAAACCAGAGCACCCAAAGGAAACCCACACAGCAACAGUGAAAAUGUACGAACUCUGUACAGACAGCAGUCUUCGUAGAAACUAUGCCCUUUUCCUCUGCAGAGCUGUUGGACCUGGUGUCAAUUCCCAGAUCCAAGCAUAUAUUUUCCUGUUUCAGUGUUUUCAGUCUUUUGUCUACUGUUGUAAAAACUACAAGUGCAUCCCCUGCUACUGUGACAAGGCUGAACUUUUCCUGCUUGCCCCUCUCCUGUUUGCAUCCUUCAAUAAAAUCAAUCUCACUCAUCCAAUGGCUCUCCUCCUUUGUCCUUGUGAGU